GGGGGCAUAGCUCAGUUGGGAGAGCAGCAGACUGAAGUGAUGUUCUAUUGGGUUCUGAAGGUCCCGCGUUCAAUCCGCGGUGCCCCCA